rnacentral:rRNA from 1 species
UACGAGGGGUGCAAGCGUUGCUCGGAAUUAUUGGGCGUAAAGGGUAGGUAGGUGGUCUCAUUUGUCUGGGGUGAAAGCCUUGAGCUUAACUCAAGAAGUGCCCCGGAAACGGUGAGACUAGAGUCUUGGAGAGGGUCGUGGAAUUUACGGUGUAGCGGUGAAAUGCGUAGAUAUCGUAAGGAAGACCAGUGGCGAAGGCGGGUCUCUGGACAGUUCCUGACGCUGAGGCACGAAGGCCAGGGGAGCAAACGGG